AACGAACGCUGGCGGCAUGCCUAACACAUGCAAGUCGAACGAGACCUUCGGGUCUAGUGGCGCACGGGUGCGUAACGCGUGGGAACCUGCCCUUAGGUUCGGAAUAACUCCCCGAAAGGGGUGCUAAUACCGGAUAAUGUCUUCGGACCAAAGAUUUAUCGCCUUUGGAUGGGCCCGCGUUGGAUUAGCUAGUUGGUAGGGUAAAAGCCUACCAAGGCGACGAUCCAUAGCUGGUCUGAGAGGAUGAUCAGCCACACUGGAACUGAGACACGGCCCAGACUCCUACGGGAGGCAGCAGUGGGGAAUAUUGGACAAUGGGCGAAAGCCUGAUCCAGCAAUGCCGCGUGAGUGAUGAAGGCCUUAGGGUUGUAAAGCUCUUUUACCCGGGAUGAUAAUGACAGUACCGGGAGAAUAAGCGCCGGCUAACUCCGUG
rnacentral:rRNA from 1 species